GGGGAUAUGGCUCAGUUGGUAGAGCACUUGCCUUGCAUGGACAGGCCCUGGGUUCAAUCCCCAGCUCCA
rnacentral:tRNA from 1 species